rnacentral:rRNA from 1 species
AUUGAACGCUGGCGGCAUGCCUUACACAUGCAAGUCGAACGGCAGCGGACCUUCGGGUGCCGGCGAGUGGCGAACGGGUGAGUAAUAUAUCGGAAACGUACCUUUUCAGUGGGGGAUAACGUAGCGAAAGUUACGCUAAUACCGCAUAUUCUGUGAGCAGGAAAGCAGGGGAUCGCAAAGACCUUGCGCUGAUUGAGCGGCCGAUAUCAGAGUUAGCUAGUUGGUGAGGUAAAGGCUCACCAAGGCGACGAUCUGUAGCGGGUCUGAGAGGAUGAUCCGCCACACUGGAACUGAGACACGGUCCAGACUCCUACGGGAGGCAGCAGUGGGGAAUUUUGGACAAUGGGCGCAAGCCUGAUCCAGCCAUGCCGCGUGAGUGAAGAAGGCCU